rnacentral:rRNA from 1 species
GAUGAACGCUGGCGGCGUGCUUAACACAUGCAAGUCGAACGAUGAUGCCCAGCUUGCUGGGUGGAUUAGUGGCGAACGGGUGAGUAACACGUGAGUAACCUGCCCUUGACUCUGGGAUAAGCCUGGGAAACUGGGUCUAAUACCGGAUACGACCAUCUGGCGCAUGUCAUGGUGGUGGAAAGCUUUUGUGGUUUUGGAUGGACUCGCGGCCUAUCAGCUUGUUGGUGGGGUAAUGGCCUACCAAGGCGACGACGGGUAGCCGGCCUGAGAGGGUGACCGGCCACACUGGGACUGAGACACGGCCCAGACUCCUACGGGAGGCAGCAGUGGGGAAUAUUGCACAAUGGGCGCAAGCCUGAUGCAGCGACGCCGCGUGAGGGAUGACGGCCUUCGGGUUGUAAACCUCUUUCAGUAGGGAAGAAGCGAAAGUGACGGUACCGGCAGAAGAAGCGCCGGCUAACUACGU